GACGAACCGUACGAACGUUAUUCGGAAUCACUGGGCUUAAAGGGUGCGUAGGCGGCGCAGAAAGUUGGGUGUGAAAUCCCUCGGCUCAACCGAGGAACUGCGCCCAAAACUACUGUGCUCGAGGGAGACAGAGGUGAGCGGAACUUAGGGUGGAGCGGUGAAAUGCGUUGAUAUCCUAAGGAACACCGGUGGCGAAAGCGGCUCACUGGGUCUCUUCUGACGCUGAGGCACGAAAGCCAGGGGAGCGAACGGG
rnacentral:rRNA from 1 species